rnacentral:SRP_RNA from 1 species
GGAUCCGCGCAAUGGGAAUUUGUGAACCAUGUCAGGUCCGGAAGGAAGCAGCAUUAAGCAAAGGAACAUGUGCCGCGGGCAACCCGGU